rnacentral:rRNA from 1 species
UAGAGUCUUGUAGAGGGGGGUAGAAUUCCAGGUGUAGCGGUGAAAUGCGUAGAGAUCUGGAGGAAUACCGGUGGCGAAGGCGGCCCCCUGGACAAAGACUGACGCUCAGGUGCGAAAGCGUGGGGAGCAAACAGGAUUAGAUACCCUGGUAGUCCACGCCGUAAACGAUGUCGAUUUGGAGGUUGUGCCCUUGAGGCGUGGCUUCCGGAGCUAACGCGUUAAAUCGACCGCCUGGGGAGUACGGCCGCAAGGUUAAAACUCAAAUGAAUUGACGGGGGCCCGCACAAGCGGUGGAGCAUGUGGUUUAAUUCGAUGCAACGCGAAGAACCUUACCUGGUCUUGACAUCCACAGAACUUUCCAGAGAUGG